rnacentral:rRNA from 1 species
GGACGCCGUAGCAAUACGGAGUGGCAGACGGGUGAGUAACACGUGGGAACAUGCCCUUCGGUUCGGAAUAACUCAGGGAAACUUGAGCUAAUACCGGAUACGUCCAAGUCAGCUUGGAGAAAGAUUUAUCGCCGAUGGAUUGGCCCGCGUCUGAUUAGCUAGUUGGUGGGGUAAUGGCUCACCAAGGCGACGAUCAGUAGCUGGUCUGAGAGGAUGAUCAGCCACAUUGGGACUGAGACACGGCCCAAACUCCUACGGGAGGCAGCAGUGGGGAAUAUUGGACAAUGGGCGCAAGCCUGAUCCAGCCAUGCCGCGUGAGUGAUGAAGGCCCUAGGGUUGUAAAGCACUUUCGACCGGGACGAAAACCCGUUGGCUAACAUCCAACGGCUUGACGGUACUGGGAGAAGAAGCACCGGCUAACUACGUG